GAUGAACGCUGGCGGCGUGCCUAAUACAUGCAAGUCGAGCGAACGGACGAGAAGCUUGCUUCUCUGAUGUUAGCGGCGGACGGGUGAGUAACACGUGGAUAACCUACCUAUAAGACUGGGAUAACUUCGGGAAACCGGAGCUAAUACCGGAUAAUAUUUUGAACCGCAUGGUUCAAAAGUGAAAGACGGUCUUGCUGUCACUUAUAGGUGGAUCCGCGCUGCAUUAGCUAGUUGGUAAGGUAACGGCUUACCAAGGCAACGAUGCAUAGCCGACCUGAGAGGGUGAUCGGCCACACUGGAACUGAGACACGGUCCAGACUCCUACGGGAGGCAGCAGUAGGGAAUCUUCCGCAAUGGGCGAAAGCCUGACGGAGCAACGCCGCGCGAGUGAUGAAGGUCUUCGGAUCGUAAAACUCUGUUAUUAGGGAAGAACAUAUGUGUAAGUAACUGUGCACAUCUUGACGGUACCUAAUCAGAAAGCCACGGCUAACUACGUG
rnacentral:rRNA from 1 species